GCCCGUAUAGCUCAGUGGUAGAGCGCAUCACUCGUACUACUGCAUCCUGUCUAAUUGGAUAGGAUCCGCACAAUCUGCGACAUGAUGAGGUCCGCGGUUCAAAUCCGCGUGGGGGCA